CUUCUACUGUAUACUCCAAGGACUUUUACAUAUCCAGAAUGUAGCACCUGAUGAGGGAAACAAUGCUUGAAAAAGAUAAAUUUCCCAUUGGGUUACUCUUCUACCUGCUAAUGAGCCCAAACAAUCAUCAAGUGUUAUUUAUUCCAGCAUGGAUAUAUUUAGCCUCAGACUUAUAUAGUUUUCUAUGGAUCCACUCAACAUGUUCAUUGUUAUGCAAGGUCCUGAUCAAGGGGUAUUUGCUAAACAAAGGGUUUCUUCUGAGUUUGAGAAUAUAAUACCUUUUUCAUUUUAAAAAGCAUGCCUCUAGAAUGUGAAAAGUCCAAACUGAAAACAAAACCAGACCAAAAUGAAACAGAAAACACCUUUGCAGGGAAUAUCAUCUGGGAACUAUAAACAAUCUUAGAGAUUCCAGGACAUCAGCAAACCAUGAUUUUAUUAAAGUGACAUCAUGCUUCAGCACUGGGCCAGAACAAAUGUAAUAUUCUUCUAAUGUUCUGUUGUAGUGAAGUACGACCAUAAAUUUACUGUCUUUAAAAUCCAAAGUGAAAGAAAGCUUCACUCAUGGGUCUCUGGUGACAGAGUUGUUCUAGUUGUUGAUUUUAUUCAGGAAGACAUGGACUUUUUCAUUUCAAGAAUCCUUUACUAUUUAAAAUGACAUCUCAGAAGUGCUGUUUUUGACAGGUAGGAAUAUUAUUUUAGAACAUUUGCUCACUGCUUGGCAUCCCUUCUAGAAGUACACAAGAAACAAGGCCAGAGAUCAAGUAAGGGCACAGAGUCAAUGCUGAGCUUCUCACAGUGACACCUCAGGCUGCAUUUAGCUCCAGAUUCUCAUAUUUGAAAUAAAUUAUUAAAAAAUAAUAAUAAUAAAAAAAGUAGCCACAAUGUCCAUGUCUGCAAUGUGAGUUAAGAGAGGGAGGUCUGUUACUUAAGCAGAGGUGCCUGGUGCCAUCUGAAAGGACCCAAGGUACCCUGCUUGGAUUGCAGCUGCCAGCCCAGAAGACCUGAGGUUUGUAGGUCCUUUGUCAUAUAUGCCAGAGCUAUUUCAGAUAUUCUAUAUGUUGCAGCCCCACAGAGUGCCUGUGAGAAAGACAAAGAAGAGAGAUGUAUUCAUUUGUAACUGAGGAAAGAGUGUAAAAUUGGCAUUUAUUAUUCAGAAUCGCAUACUGCUAAGCUUAUGUGUAAGUAUUCUAACAAAAAAACAUGCAGGACUUACAGACUCCUUCUACCUAGCAGAAAAGGAUCUAAUAAAUCCAAACUUUGGAAUAUGAAGCUAUAUUAAUUUAGCUGAGAAUUAAGAAGUGAUGGUGAUUUACCACUGGAGCAAUCUACGAGGCUCUCCUGUUUUGGGACUGAAUGACUUUAUGACAAAAGUUCCCAAGGUGAACAGCUGUUAUUGGAUUCAGGAGAAGGGUGACCGUUUAAAUUUUUAAGCCAUGAUUUCCAUAUCGGAUAAUAAGAUUUAAUUCUCCCUUCUGGUCAUAUCUUAUGAGCCAGAUAUCCAUUCUAGUCUCCUGAGUCCCAGUUCAUUGUCUUGGUUUCCAGACCAUGACAGCUUUCUCAUUUCAUCCAGAAAGUCUGCUCUGGAGCCACAGAUGAAGUGAAAUGUCUUUCAUUGCAGGGCUCAUUGUAACAUAAUCAGUCUCAUAUGGUUGUCCUGCUGUUGUUGUGACUGUAAGGGAAUAGCACUCUGUUUCUUAUAACAAAUGUAGAAAUCCAGUUGCUGAACCUCAGAGGGGAUAUGGCCUGGUGCUUGAUUAUCCCAGACUUCUUCCAGCCAUCGUUUACCUGCAUUUAUCUUUUUUUAGAGAUUACUCUGUUCCAUGUACCAUUGAAUUUGGUAUCAUAAACAAAAUAGGAUAUCUGGAUUUGGAUAAAGGACAUUCUGGUUGUUCUCAAGGACAGCUCUGAUUUGGCUGCAUGAAGUGUAAUCAUGUAAAAAUGAUAACAAAGGGCUGUAACUUAUUAUAUUGAGGUGCAGUUUCCUGCACUAGCACAGGAUCUAUGUGCAGCCUUGAGAGAACUCAGCUGCCUACACACAGGUCAUUCAAUACCUUUGGAUACCUUAUGUGGGUGCCCAGUACUGCUCUGGGAGGAGACAGAUCUUGUGUCAUAUCUGCCAUACUAUGUUGAAGUUGUGUCUAAGGCAUCUCCAAUAACACAAGAUUCCCUUGUAUAGGUAACUUAGUUGAGCCCCUACUUUUUGCAUUUGUUGUCUCAUCUUUCCUAUAGGUAGGUAAGGAGCAGGAAAUGCUGGUGGAGGGUUUGUUGCAGGGAUGCUAAAGACAGUGACUCUGAGUCACUCAUCUACAGGAGGGAUUCUUGCAUUAGACCUCCUGGCAGAUUCCCUGUUCCUUUAUCCAGGUAGAAACCAUGGUAAUACAUGGGCAAAACACAGGUAAGGUUCAGUGGCACUCAGAAAGGAAGCACAAGAGCUACUACCGGAUUUGAGCUAUGGCACAGCACAAUAAGAAAAUAUCUAAACCCCAGCAAAUAGUUCCAGAUGCAGCUCUGUGUAUCAGAUGCAGAGGAAAGCAUGGGAAGGACAAAGGGUGGCAUUGCUCAGCAGUGCAAGUUCCGCAUCCCGAGAGGUGAUAAUAUGCAACUGGCCUCUAAUGACGGACUUUGGUUGGACAUCUGCAGUGACUUGGGCCUGGACAUUGCCUGUAAAAGAGCAAUAAAAAACAGAAUAAACAAAUAAAAAGCAGUAUUUUUGCUGCACUGAACCAGUUUGCCUGAUGAACCUGGAGCUCCAGAUAACAAUUCCACUUGAAAUAGGUAAUGAUGGUUAACAAACAGCAGCCCGGUUACCCGAGACAAUGCCGAGGGCGGCAUGCGAGUGAAGAAAACAGCCUGAUCAUGUUUCUCCUCUGACUUUUCCAGAGCAGUUUGCUGCCAAAGAAGAGAGAGAGAAAUAAUAUUAGAGGGCAAGAGAGACAGAGGGUCUGGAAAGAGAAAAAUGAAAGACGCAAGAGCUCCAAAAUUGUUCUACGGGGGAGAACUGGAGGAAAACAAUUUUCUGUUCUGUCCCCAGUGCGACAGAUCCAAGCCUUGCUGGAAUCACUGGAUAGAUUCUCUUUGACUUCAUAGGCUUUGGGUCAGACCCAAGGUUGCCAUAAUGAUGGCUAAGCCUGACCUGCCUACAGGGAUGCCUUUAGGUUUAGCAGAGCCAACAAAAACCUUGUCCUCCCAAGACCAUUUUUGCUACAUUUAUUUGUAAAGUUAGCUGAUUUGCCAUGUGACAACCCCAUCAGAGACUAUUUCUGGACACCAGGAUACAUGCAAUUAUUUCCUCAUUAGGUGCCACACCAACACAACUGACAGUAUGCCACAGCAAGAGCUGCUCGGGCUUCCCUAGGGCAGACUAUUUCAUCUAAUCCUGCUUUCCUGAGCUGUGGUGGUGACCAAAAAAAAAAAAAAAAAAGCCAAGAAUGUACCCUCCAGUGGGGUACUUCCUGAAAGCAUAUCUUUAUCUCCAGUUGCUACUUCAGCAGUGUUUCCUGUUCCCACGAUUUUAACUGCUAAAUUAGGGGAUGCUGUGCUUUUAUAUGGUUCACUGGUUCCCUCAGACCAUGGUGUCCAAAUGGCUGUCAAAAUUCAGCUGUUUCCAAAGCACAGAGUGGAUCCUCAAGCACAGAACCCAAACCACAUCAUCAGGCCAUCUGCUGUUGCUGCAGCUAUUCAUUAGGAGACAGAAAUAUAGCCCUUAUAUUAAGGAGAGAAGAAAGGUUAGAGUGGCCUGAAAAGGAAAAGCAGACAUGGAAAGCAGCUGAGUUAAUUGACAUCAAAACAUAAAGAAAAUAUCUUCCCUUUCAUCUCUCUGCUCAGCACAAAGAUGUUAUUCAGCAUCCUUUGACCCUGAUUUCAGUUCCCAGUUCUCUUCAAAGAAGACGACUGGUGUUUGCAACCUUAAAAAUAAAAAGAAAGAAAUGUAGGUGGAUUGCACAUGGCACAUUUCAGACACACACUUUUUAAAUUAAUCACUUCUUGACUAAAUUGCCACAAACUAUAGAAGAUGUUCUCAGUGAUCAGCACAUGUGGAGACAUUUACAUUACAAAGACUUGAACAAAUUCCACCCAAUCUGUCAGAAGACGUGACAGUGGCUGCAGCAGUGUCACCAGUGCGUGGGCAAUCAGGAGUUGCAGGUCUUCAGUGGAAAAACAGAAAGCUCCUUGUUGCUCACCAAGUGAGACAUGUUUACCAGCCACAGAAGUUGUCUCAACCCUUUAGAAUCUUUUGCUCCUUUUGCUUCAGUGCUGUUGGAGAAGUGAGGAAUUAUUCCCUGCAUCCCAGCUUGACUAGAUGGCCAUGCCUGCAAUUCUCUGGUUAAACUUGGAAACCUCUCUCAUUUUACGCCUAGAAAUGUUAUGUUCACUAAGAGAUUUGAUAGAGAAGACAUCAGGUAAGAUUUUCAGCCCUUGCAAGGUUACAUUGCUCCACAGAAAUCAGGGAAAUCAGGUUCCUAUCCCAACUGCAGUGAAAUCACUGAUUCUGUAGGAGCCAAGAAUUUGACUGAAACAGACCUGAGAGCUCACUGAGAUCAGUCAAGAGCUUUUCAAUUGGCCACAGGGUUUGGAUCAGACCUUUACUUGAGCUUAAAAAAGGAUCAAUAAUUGUAAAAUACAACAUUUUGGUAUAAUUACCAUCACUUAAAACUGCUUUGUACACAAAUAAACCUCCUGAUGUGUUUUUAGCCAUGAGAUGAAUCCUUAAAAAUGUUAUAAACGUUCUACUUCAGGAUUGAAGCCUGCAGGCCUUGAAAGUUCACUUUCACAUGAAUUUUCUCUUCCUGGAG
ensembl:lncRNA